rnacentral:rRNA from 1 species
UACGUAGGGUGCGAGCGUUAAUCGGAAUUACUGGGCGUAAAGCGUGCGCAGGCGGAUGUUUAAGCAAGAUGUGAAAUCCCCGGGCUUAACCUGGGAACUGCAUUUUGAACUGGGCAUCUAGAGUGCGUCAGAGGGGGGUGGAAUUCCACGUGUAGCAGUGAAAUGCGUAGAGAUGUGGAGGAACACCGAUGGCGAAGGCAGCCCCCUGGGAUGACACUGACGCUCAUGCACGAAAGCGUGGGGAGCAAACAGGAUUAGAUACCCUGGUAGUCCACGCCCUAAACGAUGUCAACGGGCUGUCGGGUGCGCAAGUACUUGGUAGCGAAGCUAACGCGUGAAGUUGACCGCCUGGGGAGUACGGCCGCAAGGUUGAA